CUCUUUUCAUCGUUUUCCAUCCUGGAGGCAACGUGAGGGAUCCCAUGUAUCUGAUAUUACUAAACAAAGACAUCAGGCUUGCAUUGCAGCGGUGAGACGAGCGGAUCGAGUUCUGUGCAAACCCAGCUUUUGUUGGUUUGCUCGCGGCAUUUUCUUUCCGGCUUUUAUUAUGCAGCUGCAGAGUCUGAAGGUGUGCCCCGUGCAGAAGUAAUCGAUGAAGAUCUGACAGAAGACCAACAACAAAAUCACCAUGUCAUGGAGGCAGUGGACAGCAGUUGUGUUGGACAAGUGGAGGUUGAGGUACCAGCUGCAAAUGUAGACAGUGGCGAUCGGACAGACAGCAUCACGGAAGCUAAAGGGCAGACAAAGGAUUGUGUGUGCAA